GUUGUAUAGUUAAGUGACUAAGCGUACACGGUGGAUGCCUUGGCAAUCAGAGGCGAAGAAGGACGUGCUAAUCUGCGAAAAGCGUGGGGGAGCUGAUAAGGAGCGUUAAUCCCACGAUGUCCGAAUGGGGAAACCCGAUAGAUGAAGAAUCUAUCAUUGUUGUCUGAAUUCAUAGGGCAACAAGGCAAACCGGGAGAACUGAAACAUCUAAGUACCCCGAGGAAAAGAAAUCAACCGAGAUUCUGCGAGUAGCGGCGAGCGAAAGCGGAGGAGCCAGCGAGUGAUAGCAUAAGUUUUAGGAGAAUUGUCUGGGAAGGCAAGCGAGAGAGGGUGAAAGCCCCGUAUCCGAAAAGACAGAUGUGGUACUAAGCACGCGAGAAGUAGGGCGGGACACGAGGAAUCCUGUUUGAAGAAGGGGGGACCAUCCUCCAAGGCUAAAUACUCCUGAUUGACCGAUAGUGGACCAGUACCGUGAGGGAAAGGCGAAAAGAACCCCGGGAGGGGAGUGAAAGAGAACCUGAAACCGUGUACGUACAAGCAGUGGGAGCCC
rnacentral:rRNA from 1 species